rnacentral:rRNA from 1 species
AUUGAACGCUGGCGGCAGGCCUAACACAUGCAAGUCGAACGAGUGGCGGACGGGUGAGUAAUGUCUGGGAAACUGCCUGAUGGAGGGGGAUAACUACUGGAAACGGUAGCUAAUACCGCAUACCAUCAGAUGUGCCCAGAUGGGAUUAGCUAGUGGGUGGGGUAACGGCUCACCAAGGCGACGAUCCCUCGCUGGUCUGAGAGGAUGACCAGCCACACUGGAACUGAGACACGGUCCAGACUCCUACGUGAGGCAGCAGUGGGGAAUAUUGCACAAUGGGCGCAAGCCUGAUGAAGCAAUGCCGCGUGUAUGAAGAAGGCCUUCGGGUUGUAAAGUACUUUCAGCGGGGAGGCGUUACCCGCAGAAGAAGCACCGGCUAACUCCGUGCCAGCAGCCGCGGUAAUUC